GUAGGAGGCAGUGGAAGCUUGGAGAAUUGAGACGAUACAUUGUAGAAAUUUCACAUUUAUUCCAACGUAAACAUUUCACCUCAUUAGUGCGCAAGUAGGAGACUCUAAUGGAGCCCACAGUCUCAUAUUCUCCAUCCAUGCACGGACACGUGUUGCUUUCUUGGGUUUCUUCCAUAUUCGAGAAAGAUCGCCCUUUCUCCAUCUUCAUGAAGAAUCAAGAACGAACUCACCAUCUCCAGAAGCUUUAAAUCCAUCAUAACCCAGUUAAGAAAACAAACCCUAUAAAUACCUCCUUUCUUUAACCCUUAAAAUCAAGAAAACCCAUUCCAAGCAAAGAAAUACCAAGAAGCCUUCACUAAGCAAUCUCAGUUAAUUCUUCUCUGAUCAAUUCCCGUUUCAAAACCAAGGAAGAAAAUGUCUCUUAUUCCAAGCAGCCUCUUUGGUGGCCGUAGAACAAACAUCUUCGACCCCUUCUCUCUCGACGUCUGGGACCCCUUCCAUGACUUCCCAUUCCCAAGCACAGCUCUCUCGGCUCCUCGCUUCGAGUUCGCAAACGAAACGUCAGCUUUUGCCAACACACGCAUAGACUGGAAGGAGACUCCGGAGGCUCACGUUUUCAAGGCUGACCUUCCA
rnacentral:misc_RNA from 1 species